rnacentral:snRNA from 1 species
UGCCUUCGGGCACUUUGGUCAAUUUGAAACGAUACAGAGAAGAUUAGCAUGGCCCCUGCACUAAGGAUGACACGCUCAAUCAAAGAGAAGCUACUAGUUUUU